rnacentral:tRNA from 1 species
ACCCGAGUGGCGAAAAUGGUAUACGCGCUGAUUUCAAAAAUCAGUGAUAAUAAAUAUCAUGAGGGUUCGAAUCCCUUCUCGGGUA